rnacentral:rRNA from 1 species
CAAUGGGCCGCAAGCUUGAUGCAUCCAUGUCGUGUGUAUGAAGAAGGCCUUCUGGUUGUAAAGUACUUUCAGCGGGGAGGAAGGGAGUAAAGUUAAUACCUUUGGUCAAGACGUUACCCGCAGAAGAAGCACCGGCUAACUCCGUGCCAGCAGCCGCGGUAAUACGGAGGGUGCAAGCGUUAAUUGGAAUUACUGGGCGUAAAGCGCACGCAGGCGGUUUGUUAAGUCAGAUGUGAAAUCCCCGGGCUCAACCUGGGAACUGCAUCUGAUACUGGCAAGCUUGAGUCUCGUAGAGGGGGGUAGAAUUCCAGGUGUAGCGGUGAAAUGCGUAGAGAUCUGGAGGAAUACCGUGCCAAAGCCCCCCC